UGUUAAAAAUAAAUGACUCUAUAACUUUUAGACCGUGAGGCCAAACUUGGCAUGUGAUACCUUUUCGGAAAG
rnacentral:sRNA from 1 species